UCCAAAACCCUCUCUCUAUUUCAAUCUUUUCACCAAAAUCCCUCUCUCACAGUCAAGAGUCUCAGAGUGAGAGAGAGAAGAUGGAGGGGAAAUCGUACCAGGGUGAAAAUCCGUGAAAUGAGGCACGACUACCUCAAGUUUGAGCUCCGCGAGCGUGGCCAAUGCGCUCCGGCGCUGAUGAUCGCCGAGGUCCCCACGGUCGCCAUCGACUUCGUCGAGAUCGAAAUCAACUCCUCUGCCUCAGCCUCAUCCCCUUAACUACGGCCUCGGCCUCAUCCACACCGUCGUCCCCGUCGAUUUCUCCGGCGCCUCCGGUUAUGAAGCUUCCAAAUAGAGAGGGAUUAUCAUUAUGAAGUUGCGAAGGGGACCUCACUGCCUGCAAGGUUGAUUCUAAUACUGGCAAGUUGCUCGGCAAACGACGUCGUCUGUUCACUCCAAUCCAACGUCACUCCCACUUCUCGGAUUCCGACCUCCAAUUCCGAGUUUUAGCAAGAUGCUGGAAGAGUGAGUGGUUGCUAUUAGAGUUCGGCCAAGAAAUGAUGAGGAUCGAAUUUCUGAUUCGGAUUACGGCGACAGUGUUGAGGUCCAGCCAGAGGUGAUUAUUCGACUCUGCUAUUUCCCAGCUGCUUUUAUGAAUUAUGAUUCUUAGAACUUGAAGCACUUUUAGCAAGAAAUUAACAAGUUGCAUUCUUUUUGUUUUUUUGUUUUACAAGUGGUAGCAAAGCCUGUAGUUGAGAGUGUAUUGAAUGGAAAUAAUGGGACAGUCAUGGCUUACGGUCAAACUGGUACAGGGAAGAUUUACACACUUGGCAGGCUCGGUUGUGAUGAUGCAUCGGAGCGUGGUAUUAUGGUUAGAGCUUUGGAGGACAUUAUUUUGAGUACAGCUCCGGAGUCUGAUACAGUGGAAGUUUCAUACUUGCAGCUGUACAUGGAAUCUAUACAAGAUUUUCUUGCACUAGAAAAGACUAAUAUUCCCAUUCACGAGGACCCUAAGACCAGUGAGGUGUCACUUCCUGGUGCUUCGGUAGUAAUCUGGUGAGCCUCUUAGCAAGGAUACAAAGAUUUGGGAGUCUCAAGUUGGAGGAUCAUUCACAGUGACUAGGGACUCUAGCGAGCCUCUUGGCAUGGGUACAAAACUGUCGUCACUUGACCUCAAGGAGGACUAGCUUAAGUACCUUGAAGAGCACAGGCUCAAGGAUUUUAUCAAGAUUGCGCUCAAGAAUUUAUUCAAGAAGCACUUUAUGUAUUGAACAGCUACCCAAUUUGCAGCAUUUUGUUAUGUUUUAUUGUUUUCUUUUGAUGCUAUUGCAUCUCCCAUGUACUCCUUAGUUUGAUUUACUAAAGAUUGUUGUUCUUCCA